GACGAACGCUGGCGGCGUGCCUAAUACAUGCAAGUAGAACGCUGAAGAGAGGAGCUUGCUCUUCUUGGAUGAGUUGCGAACGGGUGAGUAACGCGUAGGUAACCUGCCUUGUAGCGGGGGAUAACUAUUGGAAACGAUAGCUAAUACCGCAUAACAAUGGAUGACAAAUGUCAUUUAUUUGAAAGGGGCAAUUGCUCCACUACAAGAUGGACCUGCGUUGUAUUAGCUAGUAGGUGAGGUAAGGGCGCACCUAGGCGACGAUACAUAGCCGCCCUGAGAGGGCGAUCGGCCACACUGGGACUGUGACACGGCCCAGACGCCUACGGGAGGCAGCAGUAGGGAAUCUUCGGCAAGGGGGGCAACCCUGACCGAGCAACGCCGAGGGAGGGAAGAAGGGUGUCGGAUCGUAAAGCUCGGUUGUAAGUCAAGAACGGGUGUGAGAGUGGAAAGUUCACACUGUGACGGUAGCUUACCAGAAAGGGACGGCUAACUACGUG
rnacentral:rRNA from 1 species